GCUGCUAUGUCCGAGUGGUUAAGGAGUGAGACUUGAACGGUCCUCGUGGCUGCACAUGCUAUCUCAUGGGUUCGCCCGCAGAGGUUCGAUCCCUCUUGGCAGCG